AUCUUUACACAUGCGAUAGACCAAACAAGAUUUAUAAGCUGAGACAUUGUUCCAAGCACCUUUGUGAGAAAAGUCGUCGCAACUCGAACGAUUUAUCAAAAGCAUAAAGUGCAGAUAGCGCCAACUUUUGGUGGUACUUCACUGAAAACAGAACCAUAUAGUUUGGAAAUCAUUUAGCUACUAUCGCGGGAUUUAUUUCUUAGAACUUAAUAAUAAUUAAUGACUGUCUGAGAAUUACGGCCGGAAAAAGCAAUCAAUCUUAAAAGAGGCUCAUGAAAAUAACCAUAACUAAAAAUAUCAAUUGAUAAGAGUGUAUGAACAGCAAUAAGAAUAUAAUUAGCUAUUUCUAUUUCUCUCAGUGUUUCUGCCUGGCAGGCGCAUCUGCUCGAGUGUAACUUUUCUGGGAGAAAGAUUUACCGGGCGACAAGUGCUAAUUUGAAUGUGGGCAGCCGUUUUAUUUGUCCUGACAGUCACCAAGCCUGAUGGCUGAGCUCCCAGAUGCCACGCCCUUUGCUGGGGGAGUGACUCCUGCUCCUGGGCAUCCGUGGAGUGCUUGUUCUUCAGCUUCUGUUCAGAUCUCGAGUAGCUGUUAAGCACUUUCAUUACACGGGCCCGAAAAGAGCAAUGAUUUAUGCGAGUUAUGAGGGGAAACGGCUCGAGUGUCGCUUUAAAUACGAGCGGAAGGUCCUUUUGGCCCACUACCUCCAGCUGCGCGCAUUUGCUGUUGACUGGUGUCAUUAAAAAUGGAAUGCUGCGUACGGUGCGCGACAGAAUGGUAAGCAUGCUCGACUGGCAAAUAAAUGCGGGGUCUAGACAGUCACGCACAAUGGCAGUUUUAAUUUCAAGAGUGCAUUCGGAAAAGAACAGCAGAUGACGAUGGUGGAAGCCCGCGAAAAGGAUCUUACUUUUAUUUAUACAAUUGCAGCAGAAAUUAAAGCAUUAAACACGCAUUUACAUUCAUUAAAUUGUACACGAAAAGAUUAUGUUGGCAAAUACAGCUAAAAUUCCGUGAAAGUGUCCGUAAAUUGCCAAUAAGUGCAAACACAUUUUUAUUUUCACAUAUUUAUUUAGAAUCAAACAAACGUAAACAAAUAACUCUAUUUGAUGUUUAGAUAUUGAUACAAGGAAUUAAACAUGUAGAACGAUUUACCGAUUAGUAAAUCAAUUAUGCUUUAAUGCACAAUAUUCGUUUGGUCAAUGAUUUUGAGCAAGGAUGACAAGUAUUUCAGUUAAACCGCAGUUAUUACUUUUACCGAUGUCAAUUUUAAGCUGUCAUAUUAUUCAAAAAAUAUGGUUUAUUUAAUAUGUGUCAUUAAAACCUGUUGAGUAAGCUCGCCGCAUUAAUAAAUAUUUAGUGAAAUGAGAACUUGGCUGUAAUGCCAUGGCUA